rnacentral:rRNA from 1 species
CCUACGGGUGGCAGCAGUGGGGAAUAUUGGGCAAUGGGCGCAAGCCUGACCCAGCAACGCAGCGUGAAGGAAGCAGGCUUUCGGGUUGUAACUUUAUUUUGACAGGGAAGAGUAGAAGACGGUACAUGUCGAAUAAGCCACGGCUAACUACGUGCCCGCAGCCGCGGUAAUCCGUAGGUGGCCAGCGUUGUCCGGAUUGACUGGGGGUAAAGGGCGUGUAGCCGGGUUGACAAGUCAGAUGUGAAAUACUUCGGCUUAACCGCAGAACUGCAUUUGAAACUGUUGAUCUUGAGUACUGGAGAGGCAGACGGAAUCCCUAGUGUAGCGGUGAAAUGCGUAGAUAUUAGGAGGAACACCAGUGGCGAAGGCGGUCUGCUGGACAGCAACUGACGGUGAGGCGCGAAAGCGUGGGGAGCAAACAGGAUUAGAUACCCUAGUAGUC